GUGCUUCACUCCGCAGCACACACACUAAAACUAGAAAUGGACAGAGAACAGCACAGCCCCUCAAAAAGGAUGACACAAAAAUUUGUGAAAAAUACCACUAAAAA